CCGGAGGAUUUUGAUCCGACUACUGUGAUCAAUGAUCCUCUGCCGCCGAUUGCUGAUGAUGCUCCCCGUAUAAACGGUGUAAAAUCGAUUAAUGGGAAAGAGAAACCGAGGGAAAUUAUUCUAGGAAGAAAUGUGCACACUACUUGCCUCGAGGUAACAGAGCCUGAUGCUGAUGAUGAGGUUACCGGAGAAAGAGAAGCUUAUAUGGCCAGCGUGUUGGCCAGAUAUAGAAAAUCCUUGCUCGAAAGGACAAAACAUCAUUUGGGUAACAAUCUUUUUGCCUCUUAUUUAUUCGAACUUUAUGUUUAUGAUCUUGUUCUUUAUUCAAAACCCCAUUUUGGAUACACAAUCGAUGUCAAUUUUGCACCUGAAAAUUGUAUAUUUUUAAUAGGGUAUCCUUAUAAUCUGGACUUCGAUUAUGGUGCGUUGUCUCAGUUACAACAUUUCUCCAUUAACAACCUUGGGGACCCAUUCAUCGAGAGCAAUUAUGGUGUCCAUUCCAGGCAGUUUGAGGUUGGUGUAUUGGACUGGUUUGCUCGUUUAUGGGAGUUGGAAAAGAACGAAUAUUGGGGUUACAUUACAAAUUGUGGAACAGAAGGCAAUCUUCAUGGCAUACUAGUCGGGUAAUUUGUAUGAUUUUAGGCUUUUAUCUCAUUUCUUGGAUUUUUACUAUUUGAAUACUUUAUAUAUCGUGUAAAUGUAACAGGAGAGAAGUGUUUCCUGAUGGGAUUUUGUAUGCUUCUUGCGAAUCACAUUAUUCCAUUUUCAAAGCAGCAAGAAUGUAUCGAAUGGAUUGUGAAAAAGUCAACACACUCCUUUCUGGGGAGAUUGAUUGUGAAGAUUUUAAAGCUAAACUUUCUCUUCACAAGGACAAACCUGCAAUCAUCAACGUGAAUAUAGGUUCUCUCACAAGACUGUUUGAUGUGCAUUGGAUUAUUACCGACAUUGAUGUCAAUGGAACAAAAAAAAGACAUAAAUGCACUUCUAAUCUUUCUCAUAAAAAAUAGUCCUAAAAAGCUUCUCCAUCCUGUUAUUUACAUUUUUUUCAAACGAAUUUACAGGAACAACAGUGAAAGGAGCUGUAGAUGAUCUUGAUCUGGUCAUAAAGACCCUUGAGGAAACCGGAUUCACACAUGACCGAUUUUAUAUCCACUGUGAUGGGGCUUUGUUUGGACUAAUGAUGCCUUUUGUUAAACUUGUAAGUAUACGUGGUCUAUUCAGUUCAUUCAGUCCAAAAAAGAAACAAUCUUUUUGUAUAAGUUUCAUAUAUAAUAUGUAUUUUUUCUUGUAAAAUCAGGCACCAAAGGUAUCUUUCAAGAAACCGAUUGGAUCCGUGAGUGUUUCGGGUCACAAAUUUGUCGGGUGUCCAAUGCCAUGUGGCGUUCAAAUAACACGAUUAGAACACAUUAACGCUCUUUCAAGAAACGUUGAAUAUCUUGCUUCAAGAGAUGCAACAAUCAUGGGAAGUCGAAAUGGACACGCCCCAUUGUUCCUUUGGUAUACUUUAAACCGAAAAGGGUACCGAGGGUUCCAAAAAGAGGUCCAAAAAUGCCUCAGAAAUGCCCACUACUUAAAAGGAAGGCUAACCAGUGCUGGAAUUGGUGCUAUGCUCAAUGAGCUCAGUAGCACAGUGGUCUUUGAACGCCCACAAGAUGAAGAGUUUACACGAAAAUGGCAGCUUGCAUGUCA
rnacentral:lncRNA from 1 species